AGAGUUUGAUCCUGGCUCAGAGCGAACGCUGGCGGCAGGCCUAACACAUGCAAGUCGAACGAACUCUUCGGAGUUAGUGGCGGACGGGUGAGUAACACGUGGGAACGUGCCUUUAGGUUCGGAAUAACUCAGGGAAACUUGUGCUAAUACCGAAUGUGCCCUUCGGGGGAAAGAUUUAUCGCCUUUGGAGCGGCCCGCGUCUGAUUAGCUAGUUGAUGAGGUAAAGGCUCACCAAGGCGACGAUCAGUAGCUGGUCUGAGAGGAUGAUCAGCCACAUUGGGACUGAGACACGGCCCAAACUCCUACGGGAGGCAGCAGUGGGGAAUCUUGCGCAAUGGGCGAAAGCCUGACGCAGCCAUGCCGCGUGAAUGAUGAAGGUCUUAGGAUUGUAAAAUUCUUUCACCGGGGACGAUAAUGACGGUACCCGGAGAAGAAGCCCCGGCUAACUUCGUGCCAGCAGCCGCGGUAAUACGAAGGGGGCUAGCGUUGCUCGGAAUUACUGGGCGUAAAGGGAGCGUAGGCGGACAUUUAAGUCAGGGGUGAAAUCCCGGGGCUCAACCUCGGAAUUGCCUUUGAUACUGGGUGUCUUGAGUAUGAGAGAGGUGUGUGGAACUCCGAGUGUAGAGGUGAAAUUCGUAGAUAUUCGGAAGAACACCAGUGGCGAAGGCGACACACUGGCUCAUUACUGACGCUGAAGCUCGAAAGCGUGGGGAGCAAACAGGAUUAGAUACCCUGGUAGUCCAC
rnacentral:rRNA from 1 species